UACAGAGGUCCCAAGCGUUGUUCGGAUUCAUUGGGCGUAAAGGGUGCGUAGGCGGUUGCCUAAGUCAGGUGUGAAAUCUCGAGGCUCAACCUCGAAACUGCACUUGAUACUGGGUGACUUGAGUACUGGAGGGGAGACUGGAAUUUACGGUGUAGCAGUGAAAUGCGUAGAUAUCGUAAGGAAGACCAGUGGCGAAGGCGAGUCUCUGGACAGUUACUGACGCUGAGGCACGAAGGCUAGGGGAGCAAACGGG
rnacentral:rRNA from 2 species